rnacentral:lncRNA from 1 species
UGAUACCAUUUUCUGUGCUUGUUAGACUCGCAGCCCUCGGGUAGACUCAAGGGCCAUAAAAUUGCUUUAGCCUUCGGGUCCAGUCUAGGCUGCAUCUGCCUGUUUGUUCUUGGUUUUGGUUUUGUUCUCUGGUGGAGGCAAAGACACAAUCAGCAAAUAUUCUUCGAUGUCAAUGGUUAGUGAAAACCGAAAAUGGUAUAUAUAUUUGCAUCAGAAUCAUAUAGUUUAUAGAAAAAGGGCUAAUUUGUGUUCAUAAAACAUACUCUUUUAAACAUUUCAGAACAACAUAGAGAAGAAAUCUGCCUUGGAAACUUGAAGAGGUUCCAUUUCAAGGAACUUCAGGUAGCUACUAACAACUUCAGCAGCAAGAAUGUAGUUGGCAAAGGAGGUUUCGGG